rnacentral:rRNA from 1 species
GGCUCAGAUUGAACGCUGGCGGCAUGCCUUACACAUGCAAGUCGAACGGCAGCACGGGAGCUUGCUCCUGGUGGCGAGUGGCGAACGGGUGAGUAAUACAUCGGAACGUACCCUGAAGUGGGGAUAACGUAGCGAAAGUUACGCUAAUACCGCAUAUUCUGUGAGCAGGAAAGAGGGGGAUCGCAAGACCUCUUGCUUUAGGAGCGGCCGAUGUCGGAUUAGCUAGUUGGUGAGGUAAAGGCUCACCAAGGCGACGAUCCGUAGCGGGUCUGAGAGGAUGAUCCGCCACACUGGGACUGAGACACACGGCCCAGACUCCUACGGGAGGCAGCAGUGGGGAAUUUUGGACAAUGGGCGCAAGCCUGAUCCAGCCAUGCCGCGUGAGUGAAGAAGACCUUCGGGUUGUAAAGCUCUUUCGGUGGGGAAGAAAUUGCACAGGAUAAUACCUUGUGUAGAUGACGGUACCCGCAUAAGAAGCACCGGCUAACUACGUG